rnacentral:ncRNA from 1 species
UUUUUUUUGAGUUUGAUGAUGGCUCUGAUUGAACGCUAUCUAAAGGCUUGACACAUGCUAAUCGUACGUUAAUUUGUAAUAUAUACAAUUUAAAGUGGUGUAAAGGUGAGUAUUAUUUAUUUUAAUUAUCUUAAAGUAAGGGAAAAAAUCCCUUAUAACCGUACAAUAAAUUGAUUUAAAAUUUAUAUUUUUAUUAUAAAGAAAAAUUAUUUUUUGCUUUAAGUUAUUUUAAAUAUAAUCAAGUAAGUAAUAGUUAAAUUAAUACAUUAACUAGCUUAAUCUUGUAGUCAAAUCUGAAAGGUUUAUUGACCACAUUGGGCCUGAAAAAAUCCCAAUAUGAAUUGUACAGCAGUGAGGAAUAUUGGUCAAUAGCCUAACGGCUGAACCAGCAAUUUAGAGGAAUGUAUGGUAUUAAUUUACCAGUAUAUGUUUAUAAAAAUAUUCAUAUAUAUUGACUAUGUCAAAUAAAAUUCUAGAUAGAUAAUUGAUAAUGACAAACUUCUAUCUAUAUGUCUUGACCAAAUCUUGUGCCAGCAGUCGCGGUAAUACAAGUAAGACUUGUGUUAUUCAUCUUUAUUAGGUUUAAAGGGUACCUAGACAAUAAUAUAAUAAUAAUAUUAUUAGAGUUUUAUAGAAAAGGUAAAUAUUAAUGCUACCGGUGUAGAGAUAGAAUGUAUUAAUACUGGUAGAAUGGAUAACGGUGAAAACAAACCUUUAUAUAUAAACUGACGUUGAGGGACGAAGGCUUGGGGAGCGAAUAGGAUUAGAUACCCUAGUAGUCCAAGCAGAAAAUUAUAAAUGUUAUAUAUUAAUAAGAAAAAUUUAAUGUAUAAAUAAAAGUGUAAGCAUUUCACCUCAAGAGUAAUGUGGCAACACAGGAACUGAAAUCAUUAGACCGUUUUUGAAACCAGUAGUGAGGUAUGUUAUUUAAUUCGAUAAUCCUCGAAAAACCUUACCACAGUUUGAAUAAUUUAUUAGUUUAUUCUUUAUUACUAAUAAUUUACAAGUGUUGCACGGCUGUCUUUAGUUAAUGUUGUGAAACAUUGAUUAGAUUCAUUAAAUUAACGUAAACCCUUGCUUUAUUUAAAACAACAAAUUGAAAUAAAGUAGUCUAUUUUAAAAUUAGACAUAAUAAUAGGGAUUAAGACAAGUCAUCAUGACCUUAAUACUGUGGGCUAUAGACGUGCUACAUAUGUUUGUACAAAGGGAAGCAAUAAUGUAAAUUGGAGCUAACCCCUAAAGCAAAAUAUAAAAUGGAUUGUUGUCUGAAAUUCGACUACAUGAAAAAGGAAUUACUAGUAAUCGUGAGUAAGUAUAUCACGGUGGAUUUAAUCUCAUCUAGGUACUAACCACUCGUCAGGCGCUGAAAGAAGUAUGUGCAAUAAGUUUGGUUUAAUAUUAAUUAUAUCCUAUGAUAAUUAGGUCAGUUUUUAUAUAUUAAUAAAUAACCUUCGAAUGCGUGACUUUAAUUGGUGUUAAGUCGAAAUAUGGUUCGUGUAGUGGAAAUUGCACGGGAUUGAUUAAUUUG